ACCGUGAGGGAAAGUUGACAAGAACUGGGAAGAGAGAGUCCAAGAGUACGUGAAACCGUUCAGGGGUAAACCUGCGAAACUCGAAUGACCGAACGGAGAGAUUCAUCGUCAUUCCGCGGUGGGUGUGCGUCGCGCUGAUGUCCGCUCCCUCGGGGGUGGGCACACGCGACGUCGGCACGCACCGUGGACGGCGUGCACUUCUCUCUUAGUAAGACAUCGCGACCCGUUCGAUGUCGAUCUACGCUCCGCGUCGGGAGCCCGGCGGUCUCACGACCGUCGGACCGGGCGGACGCCGAUCGGCCGUCGGACGGUAUAGACAUUUGAAACGCGCACGCGCUCUCUGCGCGUCCGGCACGACGCAAGGCGUACGCGUCUGCGGGUCCUGCCUCGCGGCGGUCUCAGUCGGCGCGCGCGUCUGUUGUGGCUGCCGUUUCGUCUCGGACGGUGCGCGUCUCGGUCUGCGAUGAUUCAGUUUCGGGCACUCGCAGGACCCGUCUUGAAACACGGACCAAGGAGUCUAGCAUGUGUGCGAGUCAUAGAGAUCAGAAAACUGAAAGGCGCAACGAAAGUGAAGGCGUGCGCUUGUCGCGCGCUCAGGGGAGGAUGGAGCGCGGUCUCGGCCUCGCUCCCGCACUCCCGAGGCGUCUC
rnacentral:rRNA from 1 species